GAAUGAAGAACGUAGCGAAAUGCGAUAAGUAGUGUGAAUUGCAGAAUUCAGUGAAUCAUCGAAUCUUUGAACGCACAUUGCGCCCUAUGGUAUUCCGUAGGGCAUGCCUGUCCGAGCGUCAUUUGACCUCUUCAAGCUCUGCUUGGUGCUGGGCGCUUGUCCUGCCGAUAUGGCGUGGACUCGCCUUGAACUGAUUGGCGGCCGUCACCCCGGCUUUGAGUGCAGCACAUAUGCUCUCGACACCGUGGUAGCGGCUCCCAGGAAUACAUCUUCACUGGUUGACCUCGGAUCAGGUAGGGAUACCCGCUGAACUUAAGCAUAUCAAUAAGCGGAGGA
rnacentral:misc_RNA from 1 species